ACGACUUCUUGGUCGUGAUUAAGCUAGGAUUAAGUGCAGUGUCUGUUCUUGCCAGUUUAAUAUCUGAUAUAUCCUCUUCCAGGGACACUAAAAUAAAGGGCUUGGUGAAGCUGGGAGACGGAAUAGGAGCUUGUUCUGUUGGUUCCACCAACCAACCUGGCACUGUCAUACCUCAGAGAGUCAUGUCCCCCUU
ensembl:snRNA U2 U2 spliceosomal RNA